rnacentral:rRNA from 1 species
UCUGAUGCAGCGAUGCCGCGUGAGUGAAGAAGGCCCUUGGGUUGUAAAGCUCUUUCGUCGGGGAAGAAAAUGACUGUACCCGAAUAAGAAGGUCCGGCUAACUUCGUGCCAGCAGCCGCGGUAAUACGAAGGGACCUAGCGUAGUUCGGAAUUACUGGGCUUAAAGAGUUCGUAGGUGGUUGAAAAAGUUAGUGGUGAAAUCCCAGAGCUUAACUCUGGAACUGCCAUUAAAACUUUUCAGCUAGAGUAUGAUAGAGGAAAGCAGAAUUUCUAGUGUAGAGGUGAAAUUCGUAGAUAUUAGAAAGAAUACCAAUUGCGAAGGCAGCUUUCUGGAUCAUUACUGACACUGAGGAACGAAAGCAUGGGUAGCGAAGAGGAUUAGAUACCCUCGUAGUCCAUGCCGUAAACGAUGUGUGUUAGACGUUGGAAAUUUAUUUUCAGUGUCGCAGGGAAACCGAUAAACACACCGCCUGGGGAGUACGACCGCAAGGUUAAAACUCAAAUGAAUUGACGGGGACCCGCACAAGUAGUGGAGCAUGUGGUUUAAUUCGAAGCAACGCGCAGAACCUUACCAACCCUUGACAUACUCGUCGUCGCUCCAGAGAUGGAGCUUUCAGUUCGGCUGGACGAGAUACAGGUGCUGCAUGGCUGUCGUCAGCUCGUGUCGUGAGAUGUUCGGUUAAGUCCGGCAACGAGCGCAACCCACAUCCCUAGUUGCCAGCAGUUCGGCUGGGCACUCUAUGGAAACUGCCCGUGAUAAGCGGGAGGAAGGUGGGGAUGACGUCAAGUCCUCAUGGCCCUUACGUGUUGGG